UACGUAGGUGACCAGCGUUGUCCGGAUUUACUGGGCGUAAAGCGCGUGUAGGCGGUUCCGCAAGUCAGGUGUGAAAGCCCAGGGCUCAACCCUGGAAGUGCACUUGAUACUACGGAGCUUGAGUACUGAAGAGGAGAGCGGAAUUCCCGGUGUAGAGGUGAAAUUCGUAGAUAUCGGGAGGAACACCAGUGGCGAAGGCGGCUCUCUGGGCAGAUACUGACGCUGAGACGCGAAAGCAUGGGGAGCAAACAGGG
rnacentral:rRNA from 1 species